GGUUCGAUUAUGCCUGGGAUUGAACGCUGGUGAUGCCGGCACAUUACGCAAGUCGAACGGCACGGACUUCGGUCUGGUGGCGAGUGGCGAACGGGUGAGUAAUGUAUCGGAACGUGCCCUAGUAGCGGGGGAUAACUACGCGAAAGCGUAGCUAAUACCGCAUACCGCCCUUCGGGGAAAGCGGGGACCUUCGGGCCUCGCACUAUUAGAGCGGCCGAUAUCGGAUUAGCUAGUUGGUGGGGUAACGGCUCACCAAGGCGACGAUCCGUAGCUGGUUUGAGAGGACGACCAGCCACACUGGGACUGAGACACGGCCCAGACUCCUACGGGAGGCAGCAGUGGGGAAUUUUGGACAAUGGGGGAAACCCUGAUCCAGCCAUCCCGCGUGUGCGAUGAAGGCCUUCGGGUUGUAAAGCACUUUUUGGCAGAAAGAAACGGCACGAUACACCCGUGCACCCGACGGUACCUGCAGAAUAAGCACCGGCUAACUACGUGCCAGCAGCCGCGGUAAUACGUAGGGUGCAAGCGUUAAUCGGAAUUACUGGGCGCAGCGUGCGCAGGCGGUUCGGAAAGAAAGAUGUGAAAUCCUGGUGAGCUAACUUUGAACUGCAUUUUUGCACCUACCGAGCUACAGAGGUGUCAGAGGGAGGUGGAAUUCCGCGUGUAGCAGUGAAAUGCGUAGAUAUGCGGAGGAACACCGAUGGCGAAGGCAGCCUCCUGGGAUAACACUGACGCUCAUGCACGAAAGCGUGGGGAGCAAACAGGAUUAGAUAAUCAUGGUAGUCCACGCUCCCAAACGAUGUCAACUAGCUGUUGGGGCCUUCGGGCCUUGGUAGCGCAGCUAACGCGUGAAGUUGACCUCGCCUGGGAGUACGGUCGCAAGAUUAAAUCAAAGGAAUUGACGGGGACUCCGCAACAAGCGGUGGAUGAUGUGGAUGAAUUCAAUGCAACGCGAAAACCUUACCACUCUUGAUAUGUCUGGAAUCCCCGAAGAGAUUUGGGGAUGCUCAAAAGAGAACCGGAACACAGGGUGCUGCAUGGCUGUCGUCACUCGUGUCGAGAUGUUGGGUUAAGUCCCGCAACGAGCGCAACCCUUUAAUACAUACACAUGAAAGGGCACUCCCGAUUUAGACUGCCGUGACAAACCGGAGGAAGGUGGGGAUGACGUCAAGUCCUCAUGGCCCCAGGGUAGGGCUUCACACGUCAUACAAUGGUCGGGACAGAGGGUCGCCAACCCGCGAGGGGGAGCCAAUCCCAGAAACCUGAUCGUAGUCCGGAUCGCAGUCUGCAAACUCGACUGCGUGAAGGAAUCGCUAGUAAUCGCGGAUCAGCAUGUCGCGGUGAAUACGUUCCGGUCUUGUACACACCGCCCGUCACACCAUGAGUAGUUUUACCAGAAGUAGUUAGCCUAACCGUAAGGAGGGCGAUUACCACGGUAGGAUUCAUGAUCAGUGGUGUCGUAACAAAGGUAA
rnacentral:rRNA from 1 species